rnacentral:rRNA from 1 species
UAGAGUUUGAUCAUGGCUCAGGACGAACGCUGGCGGCGUGCUUAACACAUGCAAGUCGAACGAUGAAGCUGGGUGCUUGCACUUGGUGGAUUAGUGGCGAACGGGUGAGUAACACGUGAGUAACCUGCCCCUGACUCUGGGAUAAGCGCUGGAAACGGCGUCUAAUACCGGAUAUGACUCGUGAAGGCAUCUUCGUGGGUGGAAAGAUUUUUCGGUUGGGGAUGGACUCCGGCUAUCCUUGUGGGAGGCCCCCCCGCCACCCCCC